AGUGGCAGACGGGUGAGUAACGCGUGGGAACCUACCCAGUUCUACGGAACAACUGAGGGAAACUUCAGCUAAUACCGUAUACGCCCUACGGGGGUAAGAUUUAUCGGAAUUGGAUGGGCCCGCGUUGGAUUAGCUAGUUGGUGGGGUAAUGGCCUACCAAGGCGACGAUCCAUAGCUGGUCUGAGAGGAUGAUCAGCCACACUGGGACUGAGACACGGCCCACACUCCUACGGGAGGCAGCAGUGGGGAAUAUUGGACAAUGGGCGCAAGCCUGAUCCAGCCAUGCCGCGUGAGUGAUGAAGGCCUUAGGGUUGUAAAGCUCUUUCAGUGGGGACGAUAAUGACGGUACCCACAGAAGAAGCCCCGGCUAACUUCGUGCCAGCAGCCGCGGUAAUACGAAGGGGGCUAGCGUUGUUCGGAUUUACUGGGCGUAAAGCGCACGUAGGCGGAUUGUUAAGUGAGGGGUGAAAUCCCAGGGCUCAACCCUGGAACUGCCUUCCAUACUGGCAAUCUAGAGUCCGGAAGAGGUGAGUGGAACUCCUAGUGUAGAGGUGGAAUUCGUAGAUAUUAGGAAGAACACCAGUGGCGAAGGCGGCCCACUGGUCCGGUGCUGACGCUGAGGCGCGAAAGUGUGGGGAGCAAACAGGAUUAGAUACCCUGGUAGUCCACGCCGUAAACGAUGGAUGCCAGCUGUC
rnacentral:rRNA from 1 species